CCUACGGGAGGCAGCAGUGGGGAAUUUUGGACAAUGGGGGCAACCCUGAUCCAGCAAUGCCGCGUGAGUGAAGAAGGCCCUCGGGUUGUAAAGCUCUUUUGUCAGGGAAGAAACGGUGGUUCCUAAUACGAGCUGCUAAUGACGGUACCUGAAGAAUAAGCACCGGCUAACUACGUGCCAGCAGCCGCGGUAAUACGUAGGGUGCAAGCGUUAAUCGGAAUUACUGGGCGUAAAGCGUGCGCAGGCGGUUAUAUAAGACAGAGGUGAAAUCCCCGGGCUCAACCUGGGAACUGCCUUUGUGACUGUAUGGCUAGAGUGUGUCAGAGGGGGGUAGAAUUCCACGUGUAGCAGUGAAAUGCGUAGAUAUGUGGAGGAAUACCGAUGGCGAAGGCAGCCCCCUGGGAUAACACUGACGCUCAUGCACGAAAGCGUGGGGAGCAAACAGGAUUAGAUACCCUGGUAGUCCACGCCCUAAACGAUGUCUACUAGUUGUCGGGACUUAAUUGUCUUGGUAACGCAGCUAACGCGUGAAGUAGACCGCCUGGGGAGUACGGCCGCAAGAUUAAGACUCAAAGGAAUUGACGG
rnacentral:rRNA from 1 species